rnacentral:misc_RNA from 1 species
GGCCAGGCCGGCGGAUACGCGCCCAUGCAUAUGCACACGCCCCCUUUCCUCCCCGUCUCCUGGGACGCCGCCGCAUCCUCCUCCUCCGCCGCCGCCGCCGACCGACCGCCGCAGCCCACCGGCGCCGCCACCUCCGACGCCUUCUCCGCCUUCCUCGCCUCCCAAGCGGCGCAGCAAAACGCACAGCAACCGAACGGCAUGGAGGCGUACAACCGGAUGAUGGCAAUGUACCAGAAGCUAA